UACGGAGGGGGCUAGCGUUGUUCGGAAUUACUGGGCGUAAAGCGCACGUAGGCGGCUUUGUAAGUUAGAGGUGAAAGCCCAGGGCUCAACCCUGGAAUUGCCUUUGAUACUGGCUAUCUUGAGUACGGAAGAGGUAUGUGGAACUCCGAGUGUAGAGGUGAAAUUCGUAGAUAUUCGGAAGAACACCAGUGGCGAAGGCGACAUACUGGUCCGUUACUGACGCUGAGGCUCGAAAGCGUGGGGAGCAAACAGG
rnacentral:rRNA from 1 species